rnacentral:rRNA from 1 species
UCGAACGAGACUUUUUAUUUGAUGCUUGCAUCUUUUAAAAAGUUGAGUGGCGAACGGGUGAGUAACACGUGGGUAACCUGCCUUAAAGUGGGGGAUAACACUUGGAAACAGGUGCUAAUACCGCAUAACCAUCAAAACCGCCUGGUUUUGAUGUUAAAGAUGGUUCUGCUGUCGCUUUAAGAUGGACCCGCGGCGUAUUAGCUAGUUGGUGAGGUAAUGGCUUACCAAGGCAAUGAUACGUAGCCGAACUGAGAGGUUGAUCGGCCACAUUGGGACUGAGACACGGCCCAAACUCCUACGGGAGGCAGCAGUAGGGAAUCUUCCACAAUGGACGAAAGUCUGAUGGAGCAACGCCGCGUGAGUGAAGAAGGUUUUCGGAUCGUAAAACUCUGUUGUCAGAGAAGAACGUGUGUGAGAGUAACUGUUCACGCAGUGACGGUAUCUGACCAGAAAGUCACGGCUAACUACGUGCCAGCAGCCGCGGUAAUACGUAGGUGGCAAGCGUUGUCCGGAUUUAUUGGGCGUAAAGGGAACGCAGGCGGUCUUUUAAGUCUGAUGUGAAAGCCUUCGGCUUAACCGAAGUCGGGCAUUGGAAACUGGGAGACUUGAGUGCAGAAGAGGAGAGUGGAACUCCAUGUGUAGCGGUGAAAUGCGUAGAUAUAUGGAAGAACACCAGUGGCGAAAGCGGCUCUCUGGUCUGUAACUGACGCUGAGGUUCGAAAGCGUGGGUAGCAAACAGGAUUAGAUACCCUGGUAGUCCACGCCGUAAACGAUGAAUGCUAAGUGUUGGAGGGUUU